rnacentral:rRNA from 1 species
GGCUCAGGAUGAACGCUAGCUACAGGCUUAACACAUGCAAGUCGAGGGGAAACGAUAUUGGAAGCUUGCUUCCGAUAGGCGUCGACCGGCGCACGGGUGAGUAACGCGUAUCCAACCUGCCCAUCACUUGGGAAUAACCUUGCGAAAGUAAGACUAAUGCCCAAUGACAUUUAUAGAAGGCAUCGGAAAUGAAUUAAAGAUUUAUCGGUGAUGGAUGGGGAUGCGUCUGAUUAGCUUGUUGGCGGGGUAACGGCCCACCAAGGCAACGAUCAGUAGGGGUUCUGAGAGGAAGGUCCCCCACAUUGGAACUGAGACACGGUCCAAACUCCUACGGGAGGCAGCAGUGAGGAAUAUUGGUCAAUGGGCGAGAGCCUGAACCAGCCAAGUAGCGUGCAGGAAGACGGCCCUAUGGGUUGUAAACUGCUUUUAUAAGGGAAUAAAGUGAGUCUCGUGAGACUUUUUGCAUGUACCUUAUGAAUAAGGACCGGCUAAUUCCGUG